rnacentral:rRNA from 1 species
GUGGGGAAUAUUGGACAAUGGGCGAAAGCCUGAUCCAGCCAUGCCGCGUGUGUGAAGAAGGUCUUCGGAUUGUAAAGCACUUUAAGUUGGGAGGAAGGGCAGUAAGUUAAUACCUUGCUGUUUUGACGUUACCGACAGAAGCAGCACCGGCUAACUUCGUGCCAGCAGCCGCGGUAAUACGAAGGGUGCAAGCGUUAAUCGGAAUUACUGGGCGUAAAGCGCGCGUAGGCGGUUUGGUUAGUUGGAUGUGAAAGCCCCGGGCUCAACCUGGGAACUGCAUCCAAUACUGCCAAGCUAGAGUACGGUAGAGGGGGGUAGAAGUCCACGUGUAGCGGUGAAAUGCGUAGAGAUGUGGAGGAAUACCAGUGGCGAAGGCGGCCCCCUGGAUCGAUACUGACGCUGAGGUGCGAAAGCGUGGGGAGCAAACAGGAUUAGAAACCCGGGUAGUCC